rnacentral:tRNA from 1 species
CGCGCUCUGUAGGAUUUGAACCUACGACAUCGGGUUUUGGAGACCCACGUUCUGCCGAGCUGAACUAAGAGCGC